AUACUUACCUUGCAGGGUAGAUUCAAUUAUUAAGAAGGUGGUUUUUCUAGAGUAAGGCUAAUUCAUUGCAAUCAGGAUGUACUAACCCCUGACGUUCCCUCCAAAUCAGGACAUUCAACUAUAUAGUUUGUGAUGGGAAACUGCUUUCAUGUGCUUCUUGU